rnacentral:rRNA from 1 species
CCUACGGGUGGCAGCAGUGGGGAAUAUUGGACAAUGGGGGGAACCCUGAUCCAGCCAUGCCGCGUGUGUGAAGAAGGCCCUCGGGUUGUAAAGCACUUUCAGUGAGGAAGAACGCCUGGUGGUUAAUACCCAUCAGGAAAGACAUCACUCACAGAAGAAGCACCGGCUAACUCCGUGCCAGCAGCCGCGGUAAUACGGAGGGUGCGAGCGUUAAUCGGAAUUACUGGGCGUAAAGCGCGCGUAGGUGGCUUGAUAAGCCGGUUGUGAAAGCCCCGGGCUCAACCUGGGAACGGCAUCCGGAACGGUCAGGCUAGAGUGCAGGAGAGGAAGGUAGAAUUCCCGGUGUAGCGGUGAAAUGCGUAGAGAUCGGGAGGAAUACCAGUGGCGAAGGCGGCCUUCUGGACUGACACUGACACUGAGGUGCGAAAGCGUGGGUAGCAAACAGGAUUAGAUACCCUUGUAGUC